ACUGGGCGCAGUGGCACAUGCGUAUAGUCCCAGCUACUUGGGAAGCUGAGGUGGGAGGAUUCCCUGAGCCCAGGAUUUCCGGGGCUGUAGUGUGCUAUGGCAAUCAGGUGCUCGCAGUAACUUUGGAAUCAAUAUGGUGAACUCCAGGUGAAAGAGGUUCCCUAAGGUGGGGGGAACCAGCCCAGGUCAGAAAUUGAGCAAGUAAAAACUCCUGUGCUGAUCAGUAGUGGGAUCGCACCUGUGAAUAGCCCUGCCAAUCCAGCCUGGGCAACAUAGCGAGACCCCAUCU
rnacentral:SRP_RNA from 10 species